UUGGAGGGCAAGUCUGGUGCCAGCAGCCGCGGUAAUUCCAGCUCCAAUAGCGUAUAUUAAAGUUGUUGUGGUUAAAAAGCUCGUAGUUGAACCUUGGGCCUGGCUGGCCGGUCCGCCUCACCGCGUGUACUGGUCCGGCCGGGCCUUUCCCUCUGUGGAACCCCAUGCCCUUCACUGGGUGUGGCGGGGAAACAGGACUUUUACUGUGAAAAAAUUAGAGUGCUCCAGGCAGGCCUAUGCUCGAAUACAUUAGCAUGGAAUAAUAGAAUAGGA
rnacentral:rRNA from 1 species